GCCCCCGUAGCUCAGGGGAUAGAGCGUCGGUUUCCUAAACCGUGCGUCGCAGGUUCGAAUCCUGCCGGGGGCGCAA
rnacentral:tRNA from 1 species